rnacentral:rRNA from 1 species
UUACCAGGACUUGACAUGACCAGGACAGCGGCGGAAACGUUGUCUUCCCGCAAGGGACCUGGCCACAGGUGUUGCAUGGCUGUCGUCAGCUCGUGUCGGGAGAUGUUGGGUUAAGUCCCGCAACGAGCGCAACCCCUACCGUGUGUUGUAUCACUCACACGGGACUGCCGAGAGAAACUCGGAGGAAGGUGGGGAUGACGUCAAGUCAGCAUGGCCCUUAUGUCCUGGGCUACACCCACGCUACAAUUGGCCGGUACAACGGGUUGCGAAACCGCGAGGUGGAGCCAAUCCCUAAAAGCCGGUCUCAGUUCGGAUUGUAGGCUGCAACUCGCCUACAUGAAGCCGGAGUUGCUAGUAACCGCCGGUCAG